rnacentral:rRNA from 1 species
UACGGGGGGGGCAAGCGUUGUUCGGAAUUACUGGGCGUAAAGGGCGCGUAGGCGGCCUGGCAAGUGGAAGGUGAAAUCCCUCGGCUUAACCGAGGAACUGCCCUCCAAACUGCUUGGCUUGAGACCGGGAGAGGUGAGUGGAAUUCCCAGUGUAGCGGUGAAAUGCGUAGAUAUUGGGAGGAACACCUGUGGCGAAAGCGGCGCACUGGACCACAACUGACGCUGAGGCACGAAAGCGUGGGGAGCAAACAGG